rnacentral:ncRNA from 1 species
AGUGAGUAAGUAGUUCGCUGAGUCAACUAAAGGGUGCUUAUGCACCAGCAUGCAUGCCAUGUGGGAUCCUUUAGUCAGGGGAAAACUCACUUUUUU